CCUGCUGGGCUUUUCUUUGGUUUUUAACUCCAUUAAGGUGUGGUUUCUCCUUCUAAAACUUUCCUCACUGCUGGGAUGGUGGUCAAGUAGGCAGGGAUGGAGGGAUGGUCUGAGCUGCUGCCUGGUGGGAGCUGAGCUCCACGUGUGUGACUCCAAGGAGGUGGGUCUUCUCAUUUAGGGGUGGAGAUGCCUUUCUGGCUACAGGCAGCCAGAUGGUCAUUAAAACAAGCAAGCCAUAUGCUUUCAUCUCUCCUGAGUCCACAACUUCCUCAACCCAGAUGAGAUGGGCUUAGACCCAUUCUGGGCCUCAGUAAACUUUCCACUUUCAGCCUUUCGCUGAAGGUUUGACUUUACUCUGGGAUUAUCCUGACAUUCAGCUGCUGUUGGGUUCCUCUCUGCCUCCUCUCCAGCUGAAAGCUUAUAGCUGAGCUGUGCAAGUGUGUCCUGACUUCAGAGCAAGCCCAGGAAAAGGCAGACUCCCUUGGCAGGUCUCCGACAAACCUGUUACUACAAAUUCACCCCAACCGGCAAUUCUGGCAACCACAGAAAUCUGCAUGAAGUUCAUAUUAGUUCAACGACAGCUCAUGUUGCCAGGAAUUCAGUAGCUCCUUCUAACUGUUUGAAUCUCAGCUGAAAGAUUUAAGUGCAUUUGCAUGCAGCCUCUCUGAGAAAGGCAUGAAGGUAGGUGGGCAAGCAUUUCCUUUUCACAAAUACCAUGGCGCAACUGAUUUUUAGAAUGUCAUCUGACAGGACUGAAGAUUAUAAGUCCUAAUACAUAGUUGUCAUCUCUGCAAGGUGUAAUAGCAUCUAGGUUAACUUCCAAAACAGCAUAAGACAUAGAACAUAUAGUUUGUAUAGUCAUCUUCAUUUCCACUCACUUGAUUCAUAAGGUUGUACAAAAAUUGCAUAAACACAAAUAUUUAUAAAGCCUUUCUUUUUGAAAUAGUUUCUAAUGCUUCUACUGUAUGUAUUAAAACACAGCCUGUUCUAAAAGCACUUUCCCUGUAAUGCAUUCUGUACAUUAUAACAUCUGCAAUAUCUUCAGCUGCUACAGAGGCUUUGCAGAGCUGAGGAUGUUCAUGUUGAAUAGAUUCUGUAUUUUUGUUCCUCAGGUUUGUCAAAAGUCUUUUGCUCAAAAAAAACCCAACCCAAAAAUCUAUGUUGGUCAAAUUUGAUUUCUUUUUUUCAUCUGGAAGUUGAAUUUCAGUGUCAAAUUUCAGUGGAUUUUUAAUGAAUGGCAUUAUGCAAAUAUUAGCAACACUGCUGACAUUUUCUGUCCUCUUCCAGCUUCUGAUAAGUUAACAAGGAUUAAUCAUUGUCUCACCCCUUCAGCUGGGGGAAUGUCAUUUAGUCUGGCUGAAGACUGAUGAACUAACCCCAGUCCUUGACUAGAUCUGGAGCGAGCCAUUGGCUUCUACAGCUCCCAACAAAUUUCUGCAGUGCAAAGGUAAAAGCAUAUCCUAUGACCUGGUCUGGUACCUGUUCACACACUACCUAGUGAUGUACCCUCAGGUUUUGGAGCAAGACUGCCUCUAUCCUGCUGGAAAGGGCUUUGCAAAGAGGAAGCAGAACUCCUCCCUGGUGCUAUGCAGAACAGGCUGUGGCUUUGCAGGGAUGACCAUGGGAAGUGGCAUCUGUGGGAAGAGAUGGCUGCUGCCCAGCCCUGGGAAUGGGAGGCAUGUCCACAGUGGGAGGCAGCCUCAUGGGGGGGUCCUGGUUCUCACCAUUGAGCAUUGUUCAGAACAAAUGAAGAUGCUGUAUAUGAACGUAAAGCUUAAUUUGUGGUUUUUACACCCACCGCAUUUCUUGGAGUUGACAUUUUCUGCAACUUUAGGGCUUUUUAUUUCCAGGCUGUGUUACGGGGGGGGGGGGUGCCUCAUUCACUUUAUAGAAAGCUAAAUGCCCAUGUUUUUUCAUCUACAUAAUAAAAGAGCAUGCAAUCAAAUUGGCCCACGCUUCAGCCAAAGCAGCUCAGUAAUGCUGCUGUAAUCCUUUACUCAAAGGUGUACGAACCUGGAAAGCAGUGGGGACACAUGUUCAGUUGGUAUAAUGUAGUGCAACUGCACCAUGACAUUGCUUGGGUGGAUUCUGAGAAAUUUGGAGGAAUUCCCUGGGGAAAUGUGGAGUUGGAAAAAGACCAAACUCAAACCUUGCUUCAUCCACUGUUCCCCUUUGUGCCCAACACUGAGAGCAGAGUAACUUACUUUUCAAAAAUGGCUUGGACCAGCUGUAACUGAACACCACAUGGGCUGUUUCUUCCUCUUGAUAGUGCCCAAAAUGUUCAGGUCAUUUUCCAGAUGGGAGAAAGAUAGAACUAAAGAGACAUAGAAGACAGAGGGAGGAGAUUCAAGGCAGCAGGUAUUUCGUUACUGAAAAGUUGAUUGCUCCUCCUGCUCUGUAGCAGAAGAUACUGCAUUAAAGUUUGUACAGGACUUUGGCAGGAGGUGUGUGGCUUUGGCACACAUCCUGAGUCAAAACCCUGAAUUGUGGAUUUUGGCACAUGAAGCAAGAAAAUGAGAGGCAGCUGGGGAAAAAACUGGUAGUUGCCCCAGGGAGGUAUUGAUGGGCAUUUCCCAUUGGUUGGAAGUUUCUAGUCUAGUUUCAAGGACACUUUAAUUUUCAAAUUUCUUUUCUACUGGACAUGUACAUUUGAAGUCAAGUAGCAGAAAUAAA